GAUGAACGCUGGCGGCGUGCCUAAUACAUGCAAGUCGAGCGAACAGACGAGGAGCUUGCUCCUCUGACGUUAGCGGCGGACGGGUGAGUAACACGUGGAUAACCUACCUAUAAGACUGGGAUAACUUCGGGAAACCGGAGAUAAUACCGGAUAAUAUAUUGAACCGCAUGGUUCAAUAGUGAAAGACGGUUUUGCUGUCACUUAUAGAUGGUUCCGCGCCGCAUUAGCUAGUUGGUAAGGUAACGGCUUACCAAGGCAACGAUGCGUAGCCGACCUGAGAGGGUGAUCGGCCACACUGGAACUGAGACACGGUCCAGACUCCUACGGGAGGCAGCAGUAGGGAAUCUUCCGCAAUGGGCGAAAGCCUGACGGAGCAACGCCGCGUGUGUGAUGAAGGUCUUCGGAUCGUAAAACUCUGUUAUUAGGGAAGAACAAAUGUGUAAGUAACUAUGCACGUCUUGACGGUACCUAAUCAGAAAGCCACGGCUAACUACGUG
rnacentral:rRNA from 1 species